AAAAAAUCUUUUUAUGGGUCGCUUUCUGAAGAUUAUAUAUAUAGUUUAUGUACUUAUUUUAAAUUGAGUAUAUGUUCUUCUCAAUCUUUUUUUUUUCUGAAGUUCUUUUUUUUUUCGAUUGAAAAUAAAAGAUAUAAAAGAUAAAGCUUUUAUUUUUAUGUCUUUUUAUUUUUGUAGUUUUAUUUUAUUCUUGUAUUUAUAUCUUAUAAAAUCUUUUAAGAGAGAUAAAAUUGAAAUUUAAAUGCUAGAAAUUGAAACCCUUCUACUUCUAAUAUUUAAUUACUUCUAAUAUUUAAUCGAAUAUUUAUUUUUAAAUAGAGUUAUAGGAUUAGGGGCGGAUGUAGCCAAGUGGAUCAAGGCAGUGGAUUGUGAAUCCACCAUGCGCGGGUUCAAUUCCCGUCAUUCGCCUUAAGAUUUAUUAACCUCUUUUUUUUAAUGUCAUAAAUAAAGUAAUAAUUUUAAUGAACGACAAAAGUCAGAAAAACAAUUUAAAUUGUAAAAUGAAACUAAUAAAUAUACAUAUCUUUAAUUCUAAAUUACUAUUACUCUAAAUCUAAAUUACAAAAUACUAUUCACUAUUCAAAUAUCUAUAUUUUCCUUUUCAAUUUAAAUGAAACUUUUAAAAUGAAAGAAAAUUUUCAAUUAAAUUGAAAUUUUAUUUAUUUAUUUAUAUUUAAUAUUAAUUUUAUUAAUUUUAUUUAAUAUUAAUUUCAAUUUUUUUAUUUAAUAAUAUUAAUAUUUUUAUUUAAUAAUAUUAAUAUUUUUAUUUAAUAAUAUUAAUAUUUUUAUUUAAUAACUCUGGAACCUACAUGCUGAUGCUCACGAUUUCGAUAGCCAUACCAGUGAUUUGGAGGAGAUUUCUCAAAAAGUAUUUAGUGCUCAUUUCGGCCAACUCUCAAUCAUCUUUCUUUGGCUGAGUGGCAUGUAUUUCCACGGUGCUCGUUUUUCCAAUUAUGAAGCAUGACUAAGUGAUCCUACUCACAUUAAAUUAGAAUAAUAAUAUUCCAUGUUUAGAAUAAUCUAAUUUUUCUAAUAUCUAAUAAUAGUAUUAAAAAAUAAUGUUAUUAUUUUAUAUUUUAGAUUAAAAUAUUUAUUUAUUUUAUUUAUUUAAUAUUUAUUUAUUUAAAUAAUAUAAAUAAUAUUUAUUUAUUUAAAUAAAUAUUUAUUUAUUAUAAUAUUUAUUAUAAUUUAUUAUAUAUAUUAUAUAUUUAUUAUUCUAAUUAUAUAUAUUUAUUAUUAUAAUUUGAUUUUUAUUAUUAUAAUUUAUUAUAUAUUAUAUAUAUAUAUUUAUUAUUAUAUUAUAUUAAUAUUAUAAUAUAAAUAUAUCUAAUGGCCUCUCACCCGAUUUGGAAUAGAGUAAUAGUAAUAUGUUCUAUGUAAAAAUAAUAAAAAAAAAAAACAUAAGUAAAAUAUAAAGUAGUCUCGGCUAGAAACUUUUAAUUAAGAUAGGAAUACACUAGGUUGCACAAAAAAUUAUUUUUGCGUUAAUUCAAAGCCCAUAAAGGUCCGUUGAGCGCCUUGUGGCUAUGUCAUAAUAGAUCCGAACACUUGCCCUGGAUCGACUUCCAGAUCAUAAUUGCUCUAGUGAAUAACUAAAGAAACUAGAUAAGAUAAAUGGGAGAUAGAAGAGAAAGAAACUAAUUAUAAUUAUUAUUUUUAUUAUUAAUUAUUAUUUUAUUCUAUUAAUUUAAUAAUUUAAAUUAAUUAUAAUUAUAUUUAAAUUAAUUAUUCUAUUAUUAGUUAUUUAUUAGUUAUUUAGUUAUUAAAAAGAUUUCUUAUAAUCAUUAAAAUUAAAAUUCGUAUAUAAUUAUACUAAGUAUAUCUAAGUGAGUAUAUAUAAUAUAAUAAAAAUAAAGUGCAAAGUGCGUAGAACUAACUAAAUGACUUAUUCAUAUUUCUACAUGAAAUAUGAUAAUCCAUUUAUUUGUUAUUUUUCUUUUAUUAUCUUUUUUUUUCUUGUCUUAUAAAUUUCAUUUUUCUUUUUUCAUUCUUUUAACUUUACUUUAAUAGAAAAUAUUUUAAUAUAUUUAAUAUAAAAUAAAAAAAAAUAAAGAGUUUUUCCGAUUAUAAAUUCCCCCAAAAUUCGUUAUAAUUUAGAAUCCGUCGAUUUUUUUAGUAAAAAAAAAUGGAUUCCCAGGAGAUAUAUAAAUAUGCAAGACUCUAUAUUUUCUAUGCAUAGGUAAGAAAAGAACAUGAAAUUCGUUUUAUUUAUUAUACCUUGCCCAUUUUUUCACGAAAAAAAGAAUUCACUCUUUUUCUUGUUGAUCUUGUUGAUAGAGGUUUCUUAAUUAGUAAUCAGAAAUAUCGGUAAAAAAAAAUUAUCUACAUGAUUCUUUCUACAAUUUACUCUUAUGUUAUGUCACAAAAAAAUCAAAAAAAAUUGAUUUUUCCUUUGAUUCUGCUAAAAAAAAUACCUGCUCGCCAGAAAUAAAAAUGAAUUAACUAAUUUUAAUUUAAUUAACUCAUUUUUAUUUUUAAUUUUAAUUAAGUAAUUUAAUUUAAUAUUUAAUUAAUUUAACUUCAGACUCUACUUGAUUUAUGAUUCAAAGGAAAGAAAUCGUGGAGCUGAAGUAACUCAUUCAGAACGACUUUUAACGGAUUACGUGGUACGAUUGAAUCGAAUAAGCCCUUAUGGAAUAAAAAUUCGGCUGAUUGUGAACCUUCAGGUACUGUCUGCUAUCAAUAACUGCAUGCAUUGCGCGGUGAAUGUGAAGAAGUAAACCAUUAUCUCGGCAAUAAUGAGCCAAGGUAGUAUUUGCAGUGAAUCCCCCUGUUAAGUAGUCAUGCAUUACGAUAGGAACUCCUAAUUCUCUGGCAAAUACAGCCCUUUUGAUCAUUUCUUCGCAUGUACCUGCAGUAGCAUUCAAAUAAUGUCCUUUGAUUUCACCUGUUUCAGCCUGUGCUUUAUAAAUUGCUUCGGCACAAAAUAAACCCCCCUUUUUCUGAACCCAUCUCACAUCAAUAACUCGCCCCCUACCACCUAUAGGUAGUUUUAGACAAGUUUCCUUUGAAGUAGAUACCUGAAUACCAAGUAUGGCUCUUAAUAAUCUAUCUUCGGGAGCAUACGAUGAUUCUUUCGCCAUUUGAGGCGUUAAUUUACCUACUAAAAUAUCGCCCGUCUCUACCCAAGAUCCUAGCAUCACAAUUCCAUUUUUGUCCGCAUAAUUUUGAUUUUGAUUUACAACUCCUAAUCAAAUCAGAUUGGUUUUUCUUUUGUUUUUUGUUUUGUUUGUGUAAAAAGGAUUUAAAUUGCUCCAAUAAUAAAUAAAAAUAUGAGCAAUAUAUCAUAUCUUGAAUGUUUCCUUGGAUCUAGAUAAUGCAAAGCGAUGAGUUGGUUAUUAGUUGUAUAUUUCUACUUAUUAGUUCAUAGUAUGAGUCAGUCCUUUUUUUUAAUCCUGAACCUAAAAAACCAACGAGUCACACACUAAGCAUAGCAAUUAUAUCAAAUUAUCAAUCGAAUUUUUUAUUUUAUUCAACCCUAUAGAAAUAUAAUUCGAAUUGAUUCUUUUUUUUUAAUAAUAAAAAAAAAAGAAUCAAAGAGUUUGUCAUUUUUGUUUUAUCAAUAGAUAGAAUGUAAAGACAAGUCAAGUAAGGGUUUAUUAUUUUUUGUCUAGAAAUGUCCAAAUUUUUAUGCCUAAUACCCCAUAAAUGGUUCUAACUGUAUAUGAACAAUAAUCAAUUUUAGCCCGAAUGGUUUGUAGAGGAACCCUACCCUCUCUAAUCCACUCGACGCGGCAUGGCUAAUAGUUUUGGGAAUGGUCAGCCUCUAUGUUUGAGGUCUCAGAUACUAAUCAGAAUGAAAGGAUUAAUUCUUGCAUUACAGACAAUAUAAACGCAAAGAAAUAAAAUGCUUUGAACAAUUGUGAAGGUUUUGGCUGAUUUUUGUAUGUCUUCAUGCACGUGCUUUCUUGUGUUUUGGUAGGCUGUAAAUGGGGGGGACUAUUGCUAAUAUCCCGAGAAUGCUUUCAGUACAAGAGGUUCGUUGGACUAGGCGUAUACUGGAAAGCUAAAGGUGAACAUAGAUACUGAUGUUCAACCAGGAUUAGUGGUUGUUGGGUACGGUUGGAUAGUGAAAAAUCAUAUGGAAGUAUUUUUAUGGUGUGAGGAAAAGCAAGUACAGAACAAAUGAACUCCAAAGAUUUAAGGGAGGUCUUAGUUUGGAUCAGGUCAGUUAACUUGCCUAAUAUUAUUAUCAAGGCAGAUGCAAAAAAUUACCGUCGAUCAUCUUCAUUCCCGUCUAGUGGACAAUUCUAAUUUUGAAAAAAUUAUUUGUAAUUGUAAAAAAAUUGGCUUUAAUGACCAAUAUAAUGGACAUUGUUUUCACUAAACCACAGGCUAUUAGAGUAACACACAUGUUAUCUAGUAAAGCAAUUGUUGAUAAUAUUUCUAUGGUUUUGCAACAUCCUCUUAAUAUUAUGGAGCACUUGCUUUUAUUAGACAUUGCCCAUUCUUGAUUUCUAACGAAAUUUAUCUUUUCCUAAAAACAAAAGAUGAAAAUCAGUCACAUUCCACUCAAUAUUCUUACACUUUCCUCGUCGAUACAAAUUCAAAGGCAAAAAUGUGUUCGAAUUGAAAGUCUUUGAUAUUUUCUCGUGUUCUUUUUAGCACAAUAAGUACGUAAAAGACUAUCCUUAAAUAUAUUUCAUUCCGUUUUAUGAUAAACAAUCUUGAAGCUAUAUAUAUUCCAUCAAAAAGGAAAAAGUUCUUAGAACUAAAUUAAAGGUGGAGGGAGCAAAGAUGAGAGGGUGAUAGGAAAUGAACUAAAACAUACGGUGAAAACAAUUGAUUGCAGCGAGUCGAGAUUCAAGCUGGCUGUUUUUGCUUGACACAGCAGAAAAUGGGUAGAAAGCAACAACGGCAAUGGCAGUGGUUACUAAAAGGAGAAAAAUGAGAUCGUGUCUUUUAGGAAAGCAUUAAAUAACCUAAUUCUUUUUAAUAAUCUUUUAAAAUUGAGUUGCACUGAAAAUUUUGUUUUCUUUAACCUCGUACUGGUAGAAGUUUAAGGGGUCGUGUUUGUUUGGCUUUCUGGAACUCACGACAACCAGCUGCUACCACGAAUGAUCACAAUCUCCAAGCAUUGACAGAUGAGCCAAUAUUCAGGUACCAACAUUUCUACUCAAGAUUACCACUUGUCCUUUGCUUGUGCACUUGGAAUAUGUGGUAUGAUAUGUGAAUUACAUGUAAGAUCCCUGACAGGCAUAUGCAAAACCAUUCCAGGAAGCAACCUUGCAAUAUGUAUUGUCAAUCCUUACUCUACCCAAUAUUAUACAAGGCACCAGACUCUUUGUCUAGUGCGGGUAAUGCCACCAUAUGAUCAGUAAAUGGAAUUUCAAUCUCUAACUCUCUCUCUCUCACCUCACUUCUCUUUUUUGAGAUAAUUUCUGGCAUACAACUGCUUUUCAUCUUCUUCCUCGUACACUAAAUUGUAACUAAGAUCUUCUGUGUUUUUUUUUAAGUUUAUUUUUCUGAUCGUAUAUUAAUCUGAGCUUCGGAGGGUUUCCUAUCUCUUUUGCAGGUCUCCUCUGCUUAUCUGCUAGCAUUACACUUUCUAGAAUUUUUUUUUUAUAAAAGUUAAUGAUUUCUACGUAUCCAAACUUCCUAAGAAAAUAUGGAUUAUGCCUCCAACUUCUAGUGCUCCAAGUAUCGCAUUGAGCUUUUUCCUCAUCACAACCACAAUUUGCAUUUUUAUUGUAGUAUUUACGUAUCUUAUGUCUAUUUUAUUAUAUAACCAUAAUUUGCGCUUUUAUAUUAAUAUUUUAAAAUCUUAUUUUGAAUCUAUAUUUAUCAAUAAAAAUUUGAACCCAAUUAAAUUUGUGAACACUAAAUGAGCAUAAGAGUUUUUAGCUUUUUAGAAGUUUGAAGAGUCUCCAUAAUUAUUCGCAACCUUAAUGAGUAGAGAAGUUACUUUUUUGAAAUAGUUCAAGUGCUAAUCAUUUUGCCCUUUCGCCAUGAAAAUAAUUAUUUAAAGUCAGAUACUAUUCCUGAACUAGCCAAAGCCUAGAGAUUAUCUCUAGUAAUUUGGAGAAGCUUAUAUCAUCUAAUAAAAAUAAAAACAGGAUGGUUACUCAUGUGUUUCUUCACUAAAUAUAUAUAUAGUAGCCAAGAAGGAAUUACUCCACAUUCUCUUGAAAAUCUAGUUCUUGCAUAAAUAGUCACACAACAAAACAAAUCUAACUUCCAAGCCAUGAGAUUAAGACAAUGUCAUGCUCUUUUCUUUUUCUUACUAAACAUGUGCUAAUUUACAGUUCAAUAAAUAUAAUCAUCAUCAAAGAUCAUAUAAUUGCUGCUCCUCCUAGCUCUUUCCUCUCUAUCAGCCUGGAAAUUAACAAUAAGCAAAAUAUGAUGUUGUUCAAUUAGUGCAUAGAAGAUCUAUAUAUAUAUAUAUAUAUAUAGCAUGAUUUAAUCUUUCAUGAAUUAAUUAAUUCUACAUAAGCGUACCUUGGUUAUGAGCCUCUCAAAAGCUUCAGUUCCAUGCUCUUCCAUAUAUUUCUCAGCAGCUGUUAGAAUGUCAUCUUGUUUGGUAAACACAUCCUUCUUUCUUGGGACGUACCAUAUUCUUUGAGCAGACGACUGUGGAUUCAUGUAGAAUGGUCUGAUGAAAUUCUUAUAUACAUAUGCUGCUCCAUUGAAUUGUGGCAACACCAACCAGCAUGUCACUAUCAGUUUAGCAAACGGCCAGACGGAGAUACUGCCAUUAACAGUAUAAACAACUUAAUUAGCUGAUUUCAAGUAUGUGUUUCUUGGCUGCUAUGAAAAUGUUCGCCUUGGCUUCGUUUUUAAAGAAAGAGGAACCAUGUCUCAGAAUGUUCAGAAGUGUAAAAGAAACAAGCUUUUACCAUUCCAGGAUUUUUGAGAAUGUGAGCUCAAAUAUGGUCAUCAUGGAAUACAGAACCCAAUAGGUUAGCCAUUGCUGGUCAUCAGUGCGAGAUUUAGUCUCUAUAGCUUUGAUUGAAGCAUAUCUGACAAAAUCCACGUAAAGCCAUUAUCUAGAGAAAAUAAAAGGACCCAAAACAUAUCACUACCGCAUAAAAUACAAUUGUACUCGAGAAUACACUUACAAGGGGUAAACAAGAGUCACUAGUGGCCUGCGAAUAAGAAGUAGAAACCAAUCUUAAUUAGAAAAAGAGCCAAAUAAACACAAUGCAGUGCUAACACGCAAAAGAAAUAGAACCCAAAAAUUCAAUGUUGUGUAACAUUUGUAGGAUCAGUUACAUACAAAGCAAGAACAUCAAAAUUAUUUGCCACAACUUGAAGAAAAUUCCCAGAGCCACCCAUUUCUUGUUUUUUGCAACUCAGGUUUCUUCUUUU
rnacentral:lncRNA from 1 species